rnacentral:rRNA from 1 species
AUGCAUUGGUUUGCGUGGUGGAAGUUGUGCAUCCCGAAACAGAAGGGGGGAUUGGGGUUUAGGGACCUUCAUAGUUUUAAUCUUGCUAUGUUAGCAAAACAGUGUUGGCGACUUCUCCAAAACCUGGACUCUUUGUGUGCUCAGGUCCUUAGCACUAAAUAUCAUCCAGAUGGAAAUUUGCUGAAAGCUGGUCAAAAAAAGGGCCAUCAUAUACAUGGCAAAGUAUCGUGGCAGGCAUACAGACGUUCCAAAGAGGAUGUAUAUAAAGAGUUGGAUCCGGGUCCCAAAUUAAUAUUUGGUGUGACCCGUGGAUACCAACUAGUGCAUCACGGAAGGUAA